rnacentral:rRNA from 1 species
AUUGAACGCUGGCGGCAGGCCUAACACACGCAAGUCGAGCGGAUGAAGGGAGCUUGCUCCUGGAUUCAGCGGCGGACGGGUGAGUAAUGCCUAGGAAUCUGCCUGGUAGUGGGGGAUAACGUCCGGAAACGGGCGCUAAUACCGCAUACGUCCUGAGGGAGAAAGUGGGGGAUCUUCGGACCUCACGCUAUCAGAUGAGCCUAGGUCGGAUUAGCUAGUUGGUGGGGUAAAGGCCUACCAAGGCGACGAUCCGUAACUGGUCUGAGAGGAUGAUCAGUCACACUGGAACUGAGACACGGUCCAGACUCCUACGGGAGGCAGCAGUGGGGAAUAUUGGACAAUGGGCGAAGGCCUGAUCCAGCCAUGCCGCGUGUGUGAAGAAGGUCUUCGGAUUGUAAAGCACUUUAAGUUGGGAGGAAGGGCAGUAAGUUAAUACCUUGCUGUUUUGACGUUACCAACAGAAUAAGCACCGGCUAACUUCGUG